UACGUAGGGUGCAAGCGUUAAUCGGAAUUACUGGGCGUAAAGCGUGCGCAGGCGGUCUUGCAAGACAGAUGUGAAAUCCCCGGGCUCAACCCGGGAACUGCGUCCGAUACUGGCAGGCUUGAAUCCGGGAGAGGGAUGUGGAAUUCCAGGUGUAGCGGUGAAAUGCGUAGAUAUCUGGAGGAACACCGGUGGCGAAGGCGGCAUCCUGGACCGGUAUUGACGCUGAGGCGCGAAAGCCAGGGGAGCAAACGGG
rnacentral:rRNA from 1 species